CCGAGUGAACGGCAUCAACAAUACCGACGCUUUGCCAGAAAACUUUUCAGUCAUAUAUUUGGUGUAAAGGAAAGGAAUUUCAUCUAUUAUUGAAUAUGAAGGAAGCUACUGUGUGCAGAUGACAUGUGAACUGUGAUGUAUCAGCUACAGUCAGUUGUGAAGUGUUGUUGGCCUACAAUUUCCUGUUGUUUCGCCGUCAAGACAAAAAAGUGUGUCUUAUAUGCUGUAAAAUGCAGUAGUUUCUCUUGUGCUGGGCAACUUGAUGUGAUAAGGCAUAAUAAGAGUGGUGAUGGACCAGCAAAGAGUGGUAGAGACUUGAGGUUGCUACCUUAGACCGCCUCUACCAUCCUCAACACAGAGACUGGUGAUGACACAUCUCUAGAUCAAGUGCAACACAAAGCAGAAAUUAACCAUGUCAAGCCCCAAAGAAAAAAACCUCCCUUGUAGGGAUUGUGGAAAACUGUUUGCCUUUAAGAGUGACCUCCAGAAGCACAUGCUGGUGCACAAUGGUAUCAAAGAGUUUAGAUGUGAGGAGUGUGGCAAACAAUUUUCUCAGAAGGGUCAUCUGAAAGCACAUUCAGCUGUGCACACUGAUGGCAGCACGGGCAUGUCGUCUGCCAGCACUGACCAGCAGCAUCUACGCAGAUCACGCAUGAUUCACGACACCCCAAGUUCUAUUGGUCCAUCACUCAACUUGAGUCUAAAUGACUGUUGUCCAGGAAGCAGUUGUUGUGACUCAAGGCGAGUUAUAAUUUGUUCAAGAUUUUUUUCUUGAAGUGUUGUCUCAAAGGAAUUUUUUGGUGUAUUUGUUGGGGCUGUGGUCCAUACCCUACUGUAUACUGUACAGAUAUAUUUCUUAGUGAAAUAGAUAGAAUUAUAUACUGUAUUGUGAUUCUACAGUACUGUAUAUUUUGUGACCAUUUUUUAUCCCAUUCUCGUGUUAUGUCGAAGGUCUACUGUACGUACAGGUACAGUAUUAGUAUUUUAUUUCUAUUUCAUUAGAUGCAUCAGUCAGCUUUAUAGAUGCCAAUCCUAAUUGACUUAAUCCUUUACUGAGAACAUUUUGCCUGGCCCACAUUGUCUCACCCAACCUGACCAGCUGCAGUGACUUAGCAUAAGACCAGUUGUUGGUCAUCCUUAUUAAUAUAGUAUUUCUGUUAGUGUUUGAUAACUUGUAUGUAUUUCUGUUAGUGUUUGAUAACUUGUAUGUGUUUCUGUUAGUGUUUGAUAACUUGUAUGUAUCCAUAAAUGUAGCUCAAUAAAUUACUUAAUUAUU
rnacentral:misc_RNA from 1 species